CAGCUUUGUGAGUCAUCAGCUGUCCUGGAAUAACACGCUUCAGCUCCUAGCCUGUCCUCACUGAGAUCAUCGAGCAUCCUUAUAACCAGUGUUUGGAACUCUGCAUCUGAAACCCUCCAAGUUCUGGGAGCUCAGUCUAAAAAUCAUUCACUGCAGAGUGAACAAAGG